rnacentral:lncRNA from 1 species
GCUCUAACAAGCAACAACUUCUCUUCCUCUCUGCCAUCUGCUUGGCAGCUGCAAAGCAGCAACCAUGCAUGAAUGCAUCUCCAUCCAUGUUGGCCAGGCUGACGUCCAGAUUGAUAGGGACUGCUGGGAGGUCUAUUGCCUGGAACACGGCAUCCAGCCCAGUGAUCAGAUGCCAAGUAACAAGACCACUGGAAGAGGAGAUGACUCCUUCAACAUCAAGAGCUCUUCAGUGAGACAGGUGCUGGCAAGCACGUGCCCAGGGCAGUGUUAGUAGACCUGGAAUCCACAGUCAUUGAUGAAGUUCGCACUGGCACCAAUAGCCAGCUCUUCCACCCUGAGCAGCUCAUCACAG